rnacentral:ribozyme from 1 species
CAUUUAAUGAGAAUAAUAAAGUAAGUAUUAAAAAUCCUGUGACUAGGAAGCGCUUUUUCAUGGUGCGUAUUUUUUUUUUUUUUUUUUUUUUUUUUUUUUUUUUUUUUUUUU